GUAGGUGGCAAGCGUUGUCCGGAAUUAUUGGGCGUAAAGCGCGCGCAGGCGGUUCUUUAAGUCUGAUGCGAAAGCCCACGGCUCAACCGUGGAGGGUCAUUGGAAACUGGAGAACUUGAGUACAGAAGAGGAAAGCGGAAUUCCACGUGUAGCGGUGAAAUGCGUAGAGAUGUGGAGGAACACCAGUGGCGAAGGCGGCUUUCUGGUCUGUAACUGACGCUGAGGCGCGAAAGCGUGGGGAGCAAACAGGGAUUAGAUACCCUGGUAGUCCACGCCGUAAACGAUGAGUGCUAAGUGUUAGGGGGGUUUCCGCCCCCUUAGUGCUGCAGCUAACGCAUUAAGCACUCCGCCUGGGGAGUACGGCCGCAAGGCUG
rnacentral:rRNA from 1 species